CAGCAGUAUUAUAGACUCGGCAUAUAAAUCGAGUUUACUAACGUUAGCUCUUUCUUUUCAGUUUCGAACUGUCUCUGACAAACACUGACUGAAUGAUUCAUGAGUGAUUCAGUCGCAGUCGUAAGAUUAUGAGAGGAUUACAACUUAAUUAUUGCUGUCUCUUUCUCAAAUGUAGACUUCAUUUUAACUAUAAAACAUACCAUUAAAAUACAAAUGUUUUAAGGAUAUAUAUAAAGUAACCGUAGCCUACACAUGUGGCUUUAUAAGCCGUUUAAUGAGGGUGGAGAACGGGUUUCGGGACGCUCGCGGAACUGUGUGAUUGUUUAUCGGGCGUCACGGCACACGUUUGGCACAUCCUUCACUGAUUUAAUUAUCAUAAUACUGUUACUCCGGUGCUAUAUUCAUCUGGCCCUUAUUUUUCCUGUAAGCUGAGAGUUCACUCCUCCUUCGCCAUGUGUUACCUGACAGGAGUUCGGUUUCACUGAGUGUUGUGCUGAUGGGUGGGUCUCUUUUCUUCUUGGGAACUUUAUGCAUUCAUCUGUUCUAAAGCCGUCUCUGUCACCAUAUUUUCCUGGAAGACCCUACAGUUUUGCAUUCCAGUCAUAGUUCUGAAUGUAUGUUUGUCAGUUUUCACGUGGAAAAUGAACUUCAGCAUGUCUGUUCCUGCCAGUGAUGAUGAUGUUGUGUCUCGUCAUCUGACUGCAUGUGCUGAUAUAAUAUGCAAAUAUGGUAGAUGUGUGCUGGUGGACGGCAAGCCCAGCUGUGAGUGUAAGCUGGGCUACAUUGGAGACACCUGUGAUGAAACAAUAAAUGACGCUCUGUCUGUACCGCUCACCCUCGGCAUCCUGGCGUUCAUCAUUGCCUUUAUCAUCCUGUUCUUUGGGAUGGCUUUUUUCCGGCAAAGGCAAAAGGCGAAGAAGAGAAAAAAGGCAGCUGAAGAAGCCCUGUUAAGAAAUGGAGCACAUCUUUAACAUGUUUUAAUGCCAAAAAAUAGUGUCUUCAACACAUGAAGCACUUCAUGUACACUCCAAUUAAAUACACUUUCCACCAUGACACUUAAUGUGCAUGAAUAGAUCUAUUCAUCUCAUGUUAUACUGGUGUACAUAUGUAGUGGCGUAGCACUGAAUGCACUCAACAUUAACUGACAACUCUUGUAUAUGAAAUCCGUGAAGUCCGCAGCACAUUUGAUUGAUUCUAGAACAUGACUUGAGUUGGUGUACCUGCUGGGAGAUGCAUGUAAAUCACGUUAAACAUGCAUUGACUGGUUCCUGAAACAUGCCAGGUAUUUCAGUGCUGUUUUUCUGCUGUUAUAUUUAGCUCAGUCCUGAUUAGUGAGUUUGAAUAACUGAAAGCUGACUAGUUUCAUAGACUGAUAAGCCACAGAUAAGUAUCUUUUAUAGAGAACAGUCACGCCAUUUUUUAUUAUGGGUUUUGGUUGUGUUUACUUUCACUUUUGGAGUUUCAUAACAACCUUUUUUUAUUUAGUUUAGGAAAGGCCUCAUUCAACUGUUAACAUGACUGUCUGUAUACAGUAUUUUGGAAUAAAGAUAUUUGUUUUUUGUCUACUUCUAUUUCU
ensembl:lncRNA